ACUUGCCUGCCCUGUUGGCCAUCACCGAGUGUGCACAAGUUCUGCAGGUUCACUGAAGUUGGGAGAAAAGGUCUCAGACUUUACGUCCAUAACUUGCUUGGUUGUCCUGUCUUCUGUUUCCUUCCCAGUA